UCGUGCGAGAAAGUAUCUUCGGAUAUGAUUAGAGCGGCGGACGGGUGAGUAACGCGUAGGAAUCUACCUAGUAGAAGGGGAUAGCCCGAGGAAACUCGGAUUAAUACCGUAUACCUCCUCCGGGAGAAAGAAGGCCUCUCUUUGAAGCUUUCGCUACUAGAUGAGCCUGCGUAAGAUUAGCUUGUUGGUGAGGUAAAGGCUCACCAAGGCUACGAUCUUUAGCGGGUCUGAGAGGACGAUCCGCCACAUUGGGACUGAGACACGGCCCAGACUCCUACGGGAGGCAGCAGUGGGGAAUAUUGGACAAUGGGCGAAAGCCUGAUCCAGCCAUACCGCGUGUGUGAAGAAGGCCUUAGGGUUGUAAAGCACUUUAAGUUGGGAAGAAAGGUUAUUGGCUAAUACCCAAUAACUGUGACAUUACCAUCAGAAUAAGGACCGGCUAAUUCCGUGCCAGCAGCCGCGGUAAUACGGAAGGUCCAAGCGUUAAUCGGAAUUACUGGGCGUAAAGCGCGCGUAGGUGGUUUAUUAAGUUGGAUGUGAAAGCCCCGGGCUCAACCUGGGAACUGCAUCCAAAACUGAUUCACUAGAGUACGAUAGAGGGAGGUAGAAUUCACAGUGUAGCGGUGGAAUGCGUAGAUAUUGUGAAGAAUACCAAUGGCGAAGGCAGCCUCCUGGAUCUGUACUGACACUGAGGUGCGAAAGCGUGGGUAGCGAACAGGAUUAGAUACCCUGGUAGUCCACGCCGUAAACGAUGUCAACUAGCUGUGGAAAGCAU
rnacentral:rRNA from 1 species